UUGUAGACUUCUACUACGUCUUGUAGUUUCUGUGGUCAGGUCAAUGUUAUAUCCCUCUACAGUUUGGACUUAAUUUCCCCCUCUGUAGAAUUUUUUCUCUGUUUGAAUUCCACCCCACCAUGAUUUCCAGAGAGGAAGUUUCUGAGCGCAUAAAACACUACAAAUCCCACUGACUCCCAUAGUCGAUAGUUAGCAAAUGCUACCUCCUUCUGGUCAUAAAAAAGAACUCCAUAGAAUGCUGAAAAAUGGAAAGAAAGCUUACAUUUUUUGUUCCAUCUGAACAGCCGGUAAAAGUUAUAACAUUGGUGGCUCAGUGAACUAUGGACAGGUCAGUAACCUUGUCUGAAAACUGUUAGCUUCCAGAAUAAAUGCACAGCACAGUUUUUUUGUUUGUUUGUUUUUAGCUCAGAGGGCUAACAGUCUUGAGGCAUGUGGGUGACCUGGAUUCAAUACCUAGUUGGUCACACAUUAUUAAAGGUUAGGCAAUCAUGACUACAGGAAAAGGGUAACUCACCCUUGAUUUGUGUCUGCCAUACAGCAUCUGCAUUGCCCCAGAGAGCAGGAAACACAAAUAACACAGGCAGCUAUUCUGGGUGAGGCCUCCAGAACAGACCCAAGAUAAGGGCUGCGUGUCACUGAAGCUGGAAGAGAGUUACACUAAUACCGUUGCCUGUAGUGGUGAGAUAUGUGAUGGCAGCAGACCACAGUGGCGAUCCUCCCAAACAAAUUAUCACUGAGACUGGGAUCAGGCUCACCCUGAAAGAAAACAGCUCACGUCUGCCAUGCCCCAGAGGGCAGGAAACACAAAGAACACUGGCAGCUGGUCUGGGUGAGGCCUCCAGAGCAACAGACCCAGGA